rnacentral:lncRNA from 1 species
GGAGCUUAUGUGAUUGAUGUGAAGACCUACCUCAAUUCGAGUGACACCUGUAAACUCUGCCUCAAUCCUCAACAAGGCUACAAACUGCAGAAAGUAACUAAACUAAUAAAUAAACAUCAACAAAUUAGUUUGACGUACCAUUAACAUGCUAACACUGGUGAUAUUUUCAGCUACCAGUCUCUGCUUUGGACUGGCGUGCGUUCAGCCGCUGCAGUUUUCAUCUCGAGGACAGUGAACACACCUCCAUCAGCUCACUGGUCGCAGCAUACACCAACCAGAACAGCAUCGACUGGAAGGUUGGACUGGAUUUAACGAAGUUCAGCAACUUGGAGAUUGGAGGAACCAAAUCUAAGGCAUACACCUUUGCUACAGCCCAAAGCAGAGAGGACCGCUACACCUUCAGCACACAUAAAGUCACCUGUAAACAUUAGACUUUGAACACUCCUGCAACA